UAAAAGUUUGGUCCUGACCUUAAUAUUAAUUAUGAUUAUGUUUAUAUAUGCAAGCCUCAACAACCCAGUGAGUAAUGCCCCCAACCCCCACCAAGAACCAGGGGAGCCGGUAUCAGGCACCAAUUAGCCCAAAACACCUUGCUUAGCCACACCUACACAGGAAUUCAGCAGUAAUUAACAUUGAACAAUAAGCGCACAGCUUGAUUCAGCAAUAAUCAAAUAAAGCCGGUAGAUCCCGUGCCAGCCACCGCGGUUAUACGAGAGGCUUAAAUUAACAUCUGCGGCCAAAAGAAUAGUUAAAGAAAUCAAAUAGGAUUAAAGAACUCCACAGCCGUUAUACGCAAAAGGAAAUUUUAAAACCAACACUUACCACCCUUGAAGCUAUUACAGUCAAGAAACACACUGGGAUUAGAUACCCCACUAUGCCUGACCACAAACUUUGGACCCCCCCGCCCGAGCACUACGAGCCACAGCUUAAAACUCAAAGGACUUGGCGGUGUCCUAUAUCCACCUAGAGGAGCCUGUUCUAUAAUUGAUACUCCCCAAUAAACCUCACCACCCCUGGCCGAUCAGCCUAUAUACCACCGUCACAAGCUCACCCUUUAAGGGAAUAAUAGUAAGCUAAAUAAUUAAAAAUUAAAAAGUCAGGUCAAGGUGUAGCACAUGGGGUGGGAAGAAAUGGGCUACAUUUUCUUCAUAGAAAACACGAAAUGAUAAUGAAAUAAAACAUGAAGGAGGAUUUAGUAGUAAAGAGAAACAAGAGUGUUCUCUUUAAAUUGGCAAUAGGACGAGCACACACCGCCCGUCACCCUCUCCAAACACUUUAAAAAUAAAUAAAAAUUAAUAUACACGAGGUGAGGAAAGUCGUAACAUGGUAAGUCUACCGGAAGGUGGCCUUGGGAU
rnacentral:ncRNA from 1 species